UACGUAGGGUCCGAGCGUUGUCCGGAAUUACUGGGCGUAAAGAGCUCGUAGGUGGUUUGUCGCGUUGUUCGUGAAAACUCACAGCUUAACUGUGGGCGUGCGGGCGAUACGGGCAGACUGGAGUACUGCAGGGGAGACUGGAAUUCAUGGUGUAGCAGUGAAAUGCGUAGAGAUCAUGAGGAAGACCAGUGGCGAAGGCGGGUCUCUGGACAGUUCCUGACACUGAGACACGAAGGCCAGGGGAGCAAACGGG
rnacentral:rRNA from 1 species